CACCGGCAGCUCUAGUGGUAGCUGUUUUUAUUGGGCCUAAAGCGUUCGUAGCCGGUUUGAUAAGUCUUUGGUGAAAUCCUGUAGCUUAACUAUGGGAAUUGCUGAGGAUACUGUCAGGCUUGAGGUCGGGAGAGGUUAGCGGUACUCCCAGGGUAGGGGUGAAAUCCUGUAAUCCUGGGAGGACCACCUGUGGCGAAGGCGGCUAACUGGAACGAACCUGACGGUGAGGGACGAAAGCUAGGGGCGCGAA
rnacentral:rRNA from 1 species